rnacentral:rRNA from 1 species
UACGUAGGGGGCAAGCGUUGUCCGGAUUUAUUGGGCGUAAAGAGCGUGUAGGCGGCCAGGUAGGUGGGUUGUGAAAACUGGAGGCUCAACCUUCAGACGUCGACCCAAACCCCUGGCUAGAGUCCGGAAGAGGAGACUGGAAUUCCUGGUGUAGCGGUGAAAUGCGCAGAUAUCAGGAGGAACACCGGUGGCGGAAGGCGGCAUCCUGGACCGGCAUUGACGCUGAGGCGCGAAAGCCAGGGGAGCGAAACGGG